GCAUCACUGAAGAGUCCCACGACGGGACGAAACAGCCGUCUAAUGC
rnacentral:hammerhead_ribozyme from 1 species